rnacentral:tRNA from 1 species
UACAUUUUAGUAUAUUAUGUACAGGGGUUUUUGAUACCUCAGGGGGCAGGCCGAGGUUCUGUCAAAUGUAA